ensembl:rRNA 5S_rRNA 5S ribosomal RNA
GUCUACAGCCAUACCACCCUGAAUGUGCCUGAUCUCGUCUGAUCUUGGAAACUAAGCAGGGUCGGGCCUGGUGAGUACCUGGAUGAGAGACCACUGGGAAUACUGGGUGCUGUAAGCU